rnacentral:rRNA from 1 species
GGGAGCAAACAGGACAGAUACCCUGGUAGUCCACGUUUUAACCGUUGCAAACUAGUUGUUGCUAUGCUAGACAUAGCAGUAAUGCAGUUAACACAGUAAGUGUGCCGCCUGGGGAGUACGGUCGCAAGAUUAAAACUCAAAGGAAUAGACGGGGACCCGCACAAGCGGUGGAGCAUGUGGUUUAAUUCGACGAUACGCGAAGAACCUUACCUGGCCUUGACAUAGACAGAAAUUUGCAGAGACGCAGAUGUGCUAGUUUACUAGAACUGUCAUACAGGUGCUGCACGGCUGUCGUCAGCUCGUGUCGUGAGAUGUUGGGUUAAGUCCCGCAACGAGCGCAACCCUCGUGUUUAGUUACUAACAGUUCGGCUGAGGACUCUAAACAGACUGCCUGGGUAACCAGGAGGAAGGUGAGGACGACGUCAAGUCAUCAUGGCCCUUACGGCCAGGGCUACACACGUGCUACAAUGGGGUAUACAAAGAGCUGCGAUACGGUGACGUGGAGCAAAUCUCAUAAAAUAUCUCCCAGUUCGGAUUGAAGUCUGCAACUCGACUUCAUGAAGUUGGAAUCGCUAGUAAUCGUAGAUCAGCAAUGCUACGGUGAAUACGUUCCCGGGUCUUGUACUCACCGCCCGUCACACCAUGGGAAUUGAAUUCAUUCGAAGCGGGGAUGCUAAAAUAGCUACCUUCCACAGUGGAUUUAGUAACUAGGGUGAAGUCGUAACAAGGUA